CACAAACCACUCAUAACGGUAAUAAUAUGGUUUCCUAAAAUCCAUCUACUGAGUCAGAGUAAUAAGCAGCAUUUGAAAAAUCUGAAACACCCAACUUGAUUUAGAGAAAUGUUUGGGCAGUUCUCAAUUUGGGGAAGCUGCAGGGAAGGGGGUCAAAUUUGGGUUUUAAGUGGUUUUUGUUAAAAUUUAGAUUUGGGGAAGAAUUGGUGAAGCUGCCAUAAAAAGUGAACAUGUGAACGUAAUAUGUUCGUAUCCAUAAUUAGCUUCAGUAGAUCCAAUAACACAUAGGUAC
rnacentral:lncRNA from 1 species